rnacentral:rRNA from 1 species
UCGAGGGGCAUCGGGAUUGAAGCUUGCUUCAAUUGCCGGCGACCGGCGCACGGGUGCGUAACGCGUAUGUAACCUACCUAUAACAGGGGCAUAACACUGAGAAAUUGGUACUAAUUCCCCAUAAUAUUCGGAGAGGCAUCUCUCCGGGUUGAAAACUCCGGUGGUUAUAGAUGGACAUGCGUUGUAUUAGCUAGUUGGUGAGGUAACGGCUCACCAAGGCAACGAUACAUAGGGGGACUGAGAGGUUAACCCCCCACACUGGUACUGAGACACGGACCAGACUCCUACGGGAGGCAGCAGUGAGGAAUAUUGGUCAAUGGACGCAAGUCUGAACCAGCCAUGCCGCGUGCAGGAAGACGGCUCUAUGAGUUGUAAACUGCUUUUGUACGAGGGUAAACUCACCUACGUGUAGGUGACUGAAAGUAUCGUACGAAUAAGGAUCGGCUAACUCCGUGCCAGCAGCCGCGGUAAUACGGAGGAUUCAAGCGUUAUCCGGAUUUAUUGGGUUUAAAGGGUGCGUAGGCGGUUUGAUAAGUUAGAGGUGAAAUCCCGGGGCUUAACUCCGGAACUGCCUCUAAUACUGUUAGACUAGAGAGUAGUUGCGGUAGGCGGAAUGUAUGGUGUAGCGGUGAAAUGCUUAGAGAUCAUACAGAACACCGAUUGCGAAGGCAGCUUACCAAACUAUAUCUGACGUUGAGG